GCUGCCUGCUGCCCAUUUUCAGGGGCCUCUGCUCCUGGCCAGCAGUGUCAGCUCCUUCCUCUACACAGACCUGGAACCGGCUGCUCUCUAUGACAUCAAGCUGCAGGCGUUCAAUGGCAAUGGGGAUGGAAAUAGCAGUGCCCGCUGUGUCUCAUUGUGUGAUGUGCCCCUGGCCACUCCUGAUGGCACAGUGUCCACAGAGUCCAAGACUGGGUGCUCUUGCAGCCAGGGUGAGAGCAGCCCACUGCCUGGGGUUGUGGUGGGCAUCCACGUGGGCCUGGCUGCCCUCAUCAUUUGCCUCCUCUGCCUCUUCCUGGGCUGGAGACAUAGCUAAGGGCCAGGUAAGGGCUAAUGUGGGAAAUCUGCCAGGGAGACAGUCUGCAUCACUGUGGCACAGGGCCAAAGAGAGCAAAAAAGCCCCAAUCUACAACCAAUCAAUUUUACCAAUGAGGAGACUCAGGCAGAGAGAGGAAGCCAAUUCUUUUCAGAGCUGUGUGGUACCAGGGGCAGGAGAAGGCCUGCCAUGAGCCGGGAAGAGAGAACUGGGGCUCCCAAAGCAAAGAACAAGGGCAGCAGAAAUGAGCUAGAGCCAGUUCCCUGCCAUCCAGCAGCAUGAAGAGGGGUCCACCCUCUCCAUCUCUGGGGAGCAUGGAGCAGGAGGAGGGGUUGGGAGCCAUGCGAGGCAGAGGGAGGCACCAGACAGACCACACUGCUGACCCUUCCUACCCGGGCAGCCUCCUCUGCAAACAGGAGUCCCAGGAAUGCUGGGCAGUGCCUCGGACUGCCUCGGACAGAACUGGGGGCCAUCAAGGCCAGACUCAGAGUGGAGGGAAGCUGGGGGAGAAGACUGAACUCACCACCCAGGUGACUGUGGAACAGCUGGCCUUGGCCUAGGGCCCUCCAAGUUGGCUCCCUCCGAGAUGCCACUAACUCCAGAUACACCAAAGAAUCUACCUCACCUGUCCCUGUCACCCCAGAGUCAGGAAAGAACCAAAAGUCCCUCAGCUCCUCUCCGGGGAGGGGCAGGACUGGCCAUAGUGGGAGAGAAGAGGGUGUGGUUUCUCUGUUCCUCCCAGACCUCAAGAAAUGGGAGAAUCUGCAUCCCUUCCCCCAACACACCAAAUAACCUCAAACUAAACCAAGCCCAGCUGGGAGUUACCCCCAACCCAGUUACUCCUGCCUCAUAACCCCAUCCAGUAUAUUCACCUCUUCUUGAUCCAAAUAUGAAC